rnacentral:rRNA from 1 species
CAAUAGUGUAUAUUUAAGUUGUUGCAGUUAAAAAGCUCGUAGUUGGAUUUCGGAUGGGAUUUGCCGGUCCGUCGUUACGAUGUGCACUGGCCAGUCCUAUCUUGUUGUCGGGGACUAGCUCCUUGGAUUCACUUCCUGGGACUAGGAGCUGACGAGGUUACUUUGAGUAAAUUAGAGUGUUCAAAGCAAGCCUACGCUCUGAAUACAUUAGCAUGGAAUAACACGAUAGGACUCUGGCUUAUCUUGUUGGUCUGUGAGACCAGAGUAAUGAUUAAGAGGGACAGUCGGGGACAUUCGUAUUUCAUUGUCAGAGGUGAAAUUCUUGGAUUUAUGAAAGACGAACUUCUGCGAAAGCAUUUGUCAAGGAUGUUUUCAUUAA